rnacentral:rRNA from 1 species
GAUGAACGCUAGCGGCAGGCUUAAUACAUGCAAGUCGAGGGGUAGCAAGAUUGUAGCAAUACAAUUGUUGACGACCGGCAAACGGGUGCGGAACACGUACACAACCUUCCUACAAGUGGGGAAUAGCCCAGAGAAAUUUGGAUUAAUACCCCGUAACAUAGCGAUGUGGCAUCACAUUGCUAUUAUAGCUUCGGCGCUUGUUGAUGGGUGUGCGGCUGAUUAGAUAGUUGGCGGGGUAACGGCCCACCAAGUCUACGAUCAGUAGCUGAUGUGAGAGCAUGAUCAGCCACACGGGCACUGAGACACGGGCCCGAAUCCUACGGGAGGCAGCAGUAAGGAAUAUUGGACAAUGGACGAAAGUCUGAUCCAGCCAUGCCGCGUGAAGGAUUAAGGUCCUCUGGAUUGUAAACUUCUUUUAUAAGGGACGAAAAAAGGUCUUUCUAGAUCGUCUGACGGUACCUUAUGAAUAAGCACCGGCUAACUCCGUGCCAGCCGCCGCCGUAACAC